CUCUUCUUGUGUGGAACCUAGGAUUCGAGCUGUGGGCAGAAAGUGCUCUAGCAGGGACUCUGGCUUUGAAAGAGUCCCUUUUUCCUCCUUUUCUUCCUUUACACCCAAUAAAACCUGUCUUACCCUUCAAACUGUCUGCACGCCUGAAUUUUUAUGGCUGUGGGACAAAGGACCUCAUCUUUAGCUGAACUAAGGAAAAAGUCCUGCAACAUUUUUGGCGUGCAACGUAGGGACUUGAGAAGCGGUCAUCAAACUCCAAGUGGCCAUGCAACCAGAGCCUCUGAUGAUGGCCCCUUCUGCUGGGAACCUUACACAGGCCUCUGAGGGAGCUUUAACUGCCGUUUCCCCAAAACAGCACCCCUGUCAGCAGGAAGCAGUUAAGAUCGGUCUUCAUACUUAUCCUUAUUCUAAGGGCAGUUGGAUGUGCUUCUUUAGAGGGGCGAAUGAGGCAGCCAAGUGGGAGGGGGUCCCUGGAAAAACUCCAACCAGCCUGCACACUGGGGUGGAGCCUUGGGAAGUUCAUGCCAUUUGCAACAGGGAGGUGCCUGACUCCUUCUCUCUGUGUGGAACCUGGGAUUCAAGUUGCGAGCGGGAAGCGCUCUAGCAGGGACUCUGGCCUUGUGAGAGUCCCUGUUUCCCCCCUUUCUUUCUUUACAUCCAAUAAAACCCUGUCUUACCAUUCAAAUCUGAAUUUUUGUGGCCGUGGACAGAGGACCCCAUCUUUAGCUGAAAUAAGGAAAAGUCCUGCAACAACAUCAAAUACAAUAAUUAAGGCAAAGUGGAUCAAAGGCUUCGUGUAAUAGCUAAAACCAUAAAACUGUUAGACGGAAACAGGGGUAAAUCCCCGUGGCCUUAGAUUUGGCAAUAGUUUCUUACAAGUGAUACCAAAAGCACAAGCAACAAAAGAAAAACAGAUAAAUUGAACUUUAUCAAAAUUGUGAGUUUUUGUUCUUUAAAGGACACUAUCAAGAAAGUGAAAAUACAACCCACACAAUGGAAGAAGAGGUUUAUAAAGUAUACACUGGGUAAUGGCCUAGCACCCAGAAUCUAUAAAGUACCCACAACUCAAUAACAAAAGGACAAAAAUCGGAAAAGGGUCAAAGUCAACAUUUCUCAAAAGAAGAUGCACAAAUGGCCAACAGGCACAAGAAAAGAUUCUCAAUGUUUUAGUCAUUAGGAAAUACAAAUCAAAACCACAAUGAGAUACAACUUUACGUAUACUACAAUGCCUAUAAUCAAAAAGAUCAUAAGAAGCACUGGCGAGCCCGUAGAGACAUUUGAACCCUAAAACACUGCUGGCAGGAAUAUAAAAUGGUGCAGUCACUUUGGAAAACAGUCCAGCAGUUUCUCAAAGAGUUAAAUCUAGAAUUAUCAUAUGGCUUAGCAAUUCCUAGGUAUAUACCUAAGAAAAAUGAAAGCAUAUGUCUUCACAAAAACUUGUACUCAAAUGUUUAUAGCAGUAUUACUCAUAGUAUCUAAAAGUAGAAACAACCCAAAUGUUCAACGUAAUGAAUGGAUAAAUAAAAUAUGGUAUAACCAUACAAUCAAAUAUCAUUUGGCUGUAAAAAGGAAUGAAGUACUGAGGCAUAGUACAAGAUGGAUGAACCUUAAAAUUACUAUGUUUCACGAAAGAAGCCAGUCACAGAAAAUCACAUAUAUGGUGCCUUUCAUGUGAAGUGUCAAGAAUAAGCCAAUCUACAGUCAGAAAAUAGAUUAGUAGUCACUGCUAGUGGCUGGAGGGCAGGGGGAAUGGAGAGUGACUGCUAAUGGGUAUGAGCUUUCUUUAUGGGGCGAUGAAAAUGUUACAAAAUUGGUGGUGCUGAUGAUUGUAAAACUCUGUAAAUAUACUAAAAAACAUAGAAUCAUAGACUAUAAAUGAAUAAAUUGUUUGGUAUGUGAAUCAUAUAUCAAAGCACAUGUUCUGAUCAAAGUGGAAAACAAUGAAAUAAAAAGUUCCCUGGAGCAGAGUUCUGGAGCGGUGGGAGUUAAACAGGUAAAUGUAAUUCAUAUAAGUCUAAAUUCCGGAAACCAGGACUGUGUCUUUUACAUUGCUGCAGUGCACAUGUUUAACAAAGUUCUGUAUGUAGCCAAUGUUAAAGACAAUCACAGUAAAAAAUGAAGAAAAGCUCUUGGAACCAAACCGUCCAUCAAUUUGCAACUAUGUAGAAGAGAAGAUGUUAUGAAAUCAUGGAAGUCUCCAAGAGCCUUGACCUGUAAGAAGCUUGUAAAAUUGAAUUGUGCAGGUGCCUUGAGACUUGGUCAGAAACUUGCUCAUUCCAGAGAUUCCCUGGGGUUCAGAUAGCUGACAACUACGCCUGGAGAAGUUAGACCUGUUCUAAAUACCCUAGAGAUUCUAGCACUCUUAAAACCAUCUCCAGGCUCAGAAUCUAACUAGAGAAUUGCUGAACUAACUUGCUUUCCUUGAGGAGCUUCGGACUACUUAGAAGGGAAUCAGGCUUGGGGUCAGUUUUUGAGACUAAAAGUCCUGAAAUCUGUCUCUCCUGGAAACGCUAAGGGACAUUUUUUAGUAAUUUUUCUUCCAGUAAAAUCCCAAAGUCUAAUUUGAGUCCAAAUCUUUGGGGUUCAUCCAGAAGCAAAUGGCUGCUAGGAACAUAGACUGUUUGACUCCAGAGUGAGUAAAUGUUAGAUAGAUUAAAUCUUUACUUUAUCUGGCUUUAGAUUUGGUCUUGUAUGAAACUGACAAUAAAAUAAGAAACAUGGUUUAAACCAUACAAAUAUCUGUCAAGAAGCUAGUGUGUCUCAAAUCACUUUCACAAGGGUUAAAGAUAAACCUGUAGCCAUCUGAUUUCUUUGCCAGUAGGAAUGGGG
rnacentral:lncRNA from 1 species